rnacentral:rRNA from 1 species
AACGAACUCUGGCGGCAGGCCUAACACAUGCAAGUCGAGCGAGGACUUCGGUCCUAGCGGCGGACGGGUGAGUAACGCGUGGGAACGUGCCCCUUGGUACGGAAUAGCCCCGGGAAACUGGGAGUAAUACCGUAUGAGCUCUACGGAGGAAAGAUUUAUCGCCAAGGGAUCGGCCCGCGUUGGAUUAGGUAGUUGGUGGGGUAAUGGCCUACCAAGCCGACGAUCCAUAGCUGGUUUGAGAGGAUGAUCAGCCACACUGGGACUGCGACACGGCCCAGACUCCUACGGGAGGCAGCAGUGGGGAAUCUUAGACAAUGGGCGCAAGCCUGAUCUAGCCAUGCCGCGUGAGCGAUGAAGGCCUUGGGGUUGUAAAGCUCUUUCAGCUGGGAAGAUAAUGACUGUACCAGCAGAAGAAGCCCCGGCUAACUCCGUGCCAGCCGCCGCCGUAA